rnacentral:rRNA from 1 species
UUGCCUUUGAAAUGUUUUUUUCGCCUAAGGAUAGGUCUGCGGCUGAUUAGGUCGUUGGUGGGGUAAUGGCCCACCAAGCCGAUGAUCGGUACGGGUUGUGAGAGCAAGGGCCCGGAGAUGGAACCUGAGACAAGGUUCCAGACCCUACGGGGUGCAGCAGGCGCGAAACCUCCGCAAUGUACGAAAGUGCGACGGGGGGAUCCCAAGUGUUAUGCUUUUUUGUAUGACUCUUCAUUAUGUAAAAAGCUUUUAGAAUAAGAGCUGGGCAAGACCGGUGCCAGCCGCCGCGGUAACACCGGCAGCUC